GUUACCUACGGGACGCAGCAGUGAGGAAUAUUGGUCAAUGGGAGAGAUCCUGAACCAGCCAAGCCGCGUGAGUGAAGAAGUAUUUCGGUACGUAAAGCUCUAUCAGCAGGAAAGAAAAUGACGGUACCUGACUAAGAAGCCCCGGCUAACUACGUGCCAGCAGCCGCGGUAAUACGUAGGGGGCAAGCGUUAUCCGGAUUUACUGGGUGUAAAGGGAGCGUAGACGGCAGCGCAAGUCUGGAGUGAAAUGCCGGGGCCCAACCCCGGAACUGCUCUGGAAACUGUGAAGCUGGAGUGCAGGAGAG
rnacentral:rRNA from 1 species